rnacentral:rRNA from 1 species
AGCAGCCGCGGUAAUUCCAGCUCCAAUAGCGUAUAUUAAAGUUGUUGCAGUUAAAAAGCUCGUAGUUGAAUUUCGGGAUCAAGUCGUCGGUCGUGCUUAGGUACGUACUGGCGUCAUUGAUUUCUCCCUUCUGACGAACCAUGAUGUCAUUAAUUUGGUGUCAUGGGAAAUCAGGACUGUUACUUUGAAAAAUUAGAGUGUUUAAAGCAGGCUCACGCUUGAAUACAUUAGCAUGGAAUAAUGAAAUAGGACGUUCGAUCCUAUUUUGUUGGUUUUAGGAUCAACGUAAUGAUUAAUAGGGAUAGUUGGGGGCAUUAGUAUUCAAUUGUCAGAGGUGAAAUUCUUGGAUUUAUUGAAGACUAACUACUGCGAAAGCAUUUGCCAAGGAUGUUUUCAUUAAU